rnacentral:piRNA from 1 species
UUCUAGGGGCUUCCUAUAUUUAGCAGAUC